rnacentral:rRNA from 1 species
GACGAACGCUGGCGGCGUGCCUAAUACAUGCAAGUCGAACGCAGUGGGGACGGGUGAGUAACACGUGGGUAACCUCCCAUCAGAGGGGAUAACACUUGGAAACAGGUGCUAAACCGAUACUGAUGGAUGGACCCGCGGUGCAUUAGCUAGUUGGUGAGGUAACGGCUCACCAAGGCCACGAUGCAUAGCCGGCCCUAGAGGGGGAUCGGCCACACUGGGACUGAGAAACGGCCCAGACUCCUACGGGAGGAAGCAGGAGGGAAGUUUCGACAAUGGGCGAAAGUCUGACCCAGCAAUGCCGCGUGAGUGAAGAAGGUUUUAGGGUUGUAAAACACUGUUGUUAGGGAAGCGGUACCUAACCAGAAAGCCACGGCUAACUACGUGCCAGCCGCCGCGGUAAUAC